rnacentral:rRNA from 1 species
UUCGUAGGCGGUGCGGCAAGUCGGGAGUGAAAUCUCUGGGCUUAACUCAGAGGCUGCUUCCGAAACUGCUGUGCUCGAGUGUGGGAGAGGCGCGUGGAAUUGCAGGUGUAGCGGUGAAAUGCGUAGAUAUCUGCAGGAACACCCGUGGCGAAAGCGGCGCGCUGGACCACAACUGACGCUGAGGAACGAAAGCUAGGGGAGCAAACAGGAUUAGAUACCCUGGUAGUCCUAGCCCUAAACGAUCAGGACUUGGGGUGCCGCCCGUUCGGGCGUCGUUCCGGAGCUAACGCGUUAAGUCCUGCACCUGGGGAGUACGGUCGCAAGACUGAA